UAGGGAAUCUUGCACAAUGGGGGCAACCCUGAUGCAGCGACGCCGCGUGAGCGAUGAAGGUUUUCGAAUCGUAAAGCUCUGUCCUAUGGGAAGAUAAUGACGGUACCAUAGGAGGAAGCCACGGCUAACUACGUGCCAGCAGCCGCGGUAAUACGUAGGUGGCAAGCGUUGUCCGGAAUUAUUGGGCGUAAAGCGCGCGCAGGUGGUUUAGAAAGUCCGAUGUGAAAGCCCACGGCUCAACCGUGGAGGGUCAUUGGAAACUAAUAAACUUGAGUGCAGGAGAGAAAAGUGGAAUUCCUAGUGUAGCGGUGAAAUGCGUAGAGAUUAGGAGGAACACCGGUGGCGAAAGCGGCUUUUUGGCCUGCAACUGACACUGAGGCGCGAAAGCGUGGGGAGCAAACAGG
rnacentral:rRNA from 1 species